GGAUGUGAGGGUAAUCUGGCUGCGACAUCUGUCACCCCAUUGAUUGCCAGAAUUGAUUCGGCUGAUCUGGCUGGCUAGGCGGGUGCCCCCUUCCUCCCUCACCGCUCCACGUGCGUCCCUCCCGAAGCUGCGCGCUCGGUCGCAGAGGACAACCUUCCCAGAUAGAGGAGGACCCGUUCUUCUCGGUCAAGGGUACACAAGUAGUUGCACUCCCCGGCCAGAGCCUCCAGACAAGCUCUCAGUCUAAGUUAAGUACAAGAUAUCUCAUCUCUCGCCCUGGCCUUCCGUGAUGCUGCCUGCAAAA
rnacentral:snRNA from 1 species